GUUAGCAUGGCAGAGUGGUCUAAGGCAUCGGAUUGAGCAUCCGAUCCAAAGGGAUGUGGGUUUAAGUCUCACUUUUGACA